rnacentral:sRNA from 1 species
GUCAGCACCCCGCUCUCUUUGUGACGGGGCUUCAUGCCUCCAACUUUAGAUAGCUGACCAGCCUCAGCCUAACGGCUACGUUUUCUGGAUCAUAAUACCCACGAAUGCGACGCUAGUUUGUGGCUNCAGA